rnacentral:SRP_RNA from 2 species
GCCGGGUAUGGUGGUGCAUGCCUGUAAUCCCAGCUACUCAGGAAGCUGAGGCAGGAGAAUCUCUUGAACCCAGGAGGCGGAGGUUGUAGUGAGCUGAUAUGGCCUCACUGCAUUCCAGCCUGGGUGACAGAGUGAGACCCUGUCUCAA